rnacentral:rRNA from 1 species
AUGGCUCAGGACGAACGCUGGCGGCGUGCUUAACACAUGCAAGUCGAGCGAUGAAGCUCUUCGGAAGUGGAUUAGCGGCGGACGGGUGAGUAACACGUGGGUAACCUGCCUCAUAGAGGGGAAUAGCCUUCCGAAAGGAAGAUUAAUACCGCAUAAGAUUGUAAUAUCGCAUGAUAUAGCAAUUAAAGGAGUAAUCCGCUAUGAGAUGGACCCGCGUCGCAUUAGCUAGUUGGUGAGGUAACGGCUCACCAAGGCGACGAUGCGUAGCCGACCUGAGAGGGUGAUCGGCCACAUUGGGACUGAGACACGGCCCAGACUCCUACGGGAGGCAGCAGUGGGGAAUAUUGCACAAUGGGGGAAACCCUGAUGCAGCAAACCGCCGCGUGAGUGAUGACGGUCUUCGGAUUGUAAAGCUCUGUCUUCAGGGACGAUAAUGACGGUACCUGAGGAGGAAGCCACGGCUAACUACGUGCCAGCAGCUGC